rnacentral:tRNA from 1 species
UAGCCUAGUGGAUAAGGCUAUGGAUCGCCAAUCCGGAGACUGCGGGUUCGAUUCCCGU